AGUUGGUGGAGUGAUUUGUCUGGUUAAUUCCGAUAACGAGCGAGACCUCAGCCUACUAAUUGGUAACGACAAUUUUAAUUGUUCUUAGUUGCAUCUUAGAGGGACUAUCGGUGAGUAGCCGAAGGAAGUUUGAGGCAAUAACAGG
rnacentral:rRNA from 1 species